rnacentral:rRNA from 1 species
AUUGAACGCUGGCGGCAGGCCUAACACAUGCAAGUCGAACGAGUGGCGGACGGGUGAGUAAUGUCUGGGAAACUGCCUGAUGGAGGGGGAUAACUACUGGAAACGGUAGCUAAUACCGCAUACCAUCGGAUGUGCCCAGAUGGGAUUAGCUAGUAGGUGGGGUAAAGGGUCACCUAGGCGACGAUCCCUAGCUGGUCUGAGAGGAUGACCAGCAAAACGGGCACUUAGAAACGGUCAAGACGCCUAGGGGAGGCAGCAGUGGGGAAGAUGGGACAAUGGGCGCAAGCCUGAUGCAGCCAUGCCGCGUGUAUGAAGAAGGGCUUAGGGUUGUAAAGUACUUUCAGCGGGGAGGCGUUACCCGCAGAAGAAGCACCGGCUAACUCCGUGCCAGCCGCCGCGGUAAUAC